rnacentral:rRNA from 1 species
GAUGAACGCUGGCGGCGUGCCUAAUACAUGCAAGUCGAGCGAACGGACGAGAAGCUUGCUUUUCUGAUGUUAGCGGCGGACGGGUGAGUAACACGUGGAUAACCUACCUAUAAGACUGGGAUAACUUCGGGAAACCGGAGCUAAUACCGGAUAAUAUUUUGAACCGCAUGGUUCAAAAGUGAAAGACGGUCUUGCUGUCACCUAUAGAUGGAUCCGCGCUGCAUUAGCUAGUUGGUAAGGUAACGGCUUACCAAGGCAACGAUGCAUAUCCGACCUGAGAGGGUGAUCGGCCACACUGGAACUGAGACACGGUCCAGACUCCUACGGGAGGCAGCAGUAGGGAAUCUUCCGCAAUGGGCGAAAGCCUGACGGAGCAACGCCGCGUGAGUGAUGAAGGUCUUCGGAUCGUAAAACUCUGUUAUUAGGGAAGAACAUAUGUGUAAGUAACUGUGCACAUCUUGACGGUACCUAAUCAGAAAGCCACGGCUAACUACGUG